rnacentral:rRNA from 1 species
AGUGAACGCUGGCGGUAGGCCUAACACAUGCAAGUCGAACGGCAGCACAGUAAGAGCUUGCUCUUACGGGUGGCGAGUGGCGGACGGGUGAGGAAUACAUCGGAAUCUACUUUUUCGUGGGGGAUAACGUAGGGAAACUUACGCUAAUACCGCAUACGACCUACGGGUGAAAGCAGGGGAUCUUCGGACCUUGCGCGAUUGAAUGAGCCGAUGUCGGAUUAGCUAGUUGGCGGGGUAAAGGCCCACCAAGGCGACGAUCCGUAGCUGGUCUGAGAGGAUGAUCAGCCACACUGGAACUGAGACACGGUCCAGACUCCUACGGGAGGCAGCAGUGGGGAAUAUUGGACAAUGGGCGCAAGCCUGAUCCAGCCAUACCGCGUGGGUGAAGAAGGCCUUCGGGUUGUAAAGCCCUUUUGCUGGGAAAGAAAAGCAGCAGGUUAAAACCCCGCUGUUCUGACGGUACCCAAAGAAUAAGCACCGGCUAACUUCGUG